rnacentral:snRNA from 1 species
AUCGCUUCUCAGCCUUUUGGCUAAGAUCAAGUGUAAUAAAAAUCUAUCUCUAAAACUUUUUAUUUGAAAAGCUACAUCUCAGGUAAUUUUUUCGAACAAGUAUGAGCAAUGUUUUUCUAAAAUACCCAUCUCCAUUUUUAAAGAGCUCAGCUG